rnacentral:lncRNA from 1 species
CUCUCAGGCAAGACGGUGGCCACACAGAGGACGGGUUUGCCACACGUGUUACACAGCGGCUGAGUGAGGACAGCGUCCCCAGGGUGGCUUGCAGAGGUGGGUAGGGAGGGUUCUGUCAGCUACUACUCCCUUCCUUAAUGAGCGGGAGGCACCGCUCCGGCUGGGAUUGGAUUUGCCAAUACUGACAGAACCAGGGCUGCUAACACAGCGCAUGGUCCUGGAGCAGAGGCACCCAGGAGGAUCACACUGGUGAGACCCAGCUGGGAUUUGGUUCUUGUCCUUCACAAGCAAGGAGGUGCUUUGGGGGAUCCCUCCCUCCAGGUCUCUGCUUCCAGUGCUGAGACACCAGAGAAACCAGUGCCAGGGGAGUUGAGGGAUGUGGAGAAGGUCUAACUGCCCAAACCAUCGAGCCCAGGUACCAAAUGGGUGGAUGGGGAAGUGAUGCCAGCCCUGGGGUCAGGCCACCA